UAAAAUGAUAUAUCCUACGGUACACAUAUACUUUCUCUCUCUUCAAACACCACAACACUGAGAGAGAACACUUUUGCACCACUGCAUCUAGGGCGAAAUCGUGAGAGAGAGAUCAAAAUAAUGUGAAUCUAGGCUUCUAUUGCAUUUUUCUCUUCUUUUGCUACAUCUUUUAUCUAAAGGACAGGACUGAUCAAAAUCAGAAAUGAAUUAGUUAAAACCUAUUGAACCUCAAAUAUCGAUGAAGCCAAUAAUAUAUGUCGGGACCAAUAUAUACGGGGAAGCUAAUGAAACAAAAAUUCAAGUCUUGUCAGUCUGAUGAGUUCUGUUGCAGGCAUCAGAAGUACAUAAAUGCAAUUGCAGUGAUGCAUAAAUUUGGUGGGACUGUUCUAUGUUGACUGACAUAGAAGAAGUGUAAUGUCUAUAUCCUAUUUCUCAUUGUUGUUCAUAGCAAGUGCAAUUGUGGCCUUUAAGUUAUUCAGUUUCUGCCCAACUGUUGGAAUCAUUUCUAGUUAUAGAAAUAUCUCUGAAAACAAAAGAACAUGAUUCUUUUUUUAUAGGUUGUUGAAAAGGGUCGAGAUCCAACACCAGGUGAGGUGCAUUUGCAUGUCCAUACACAUGAUCAUGAUGGAGCAUCUUUUAUUGAUAAGUGUGCCCGAGCUGUCCAUGAAAGAUGUCAAGAAAUAUUCCGGGAAAAAUCACUAUCUCAAUCUGAUAUUGAUCAAUGUGAAGCAUAUUACCAAGCCGUGGAAGGAGCAAUGAAGAGAAGAAUAUAUGAUCUUGGAUCUCAAGCAUAAAGUUACUACGGGCCAAAUCUUCGUGUCACUUCUGAUUUCGAUGCUUCAUCAUAAGUACCACCUUCAGUUUCUCAAUCAACACCAACUGAAAAUAUGGAGGAGUUGGUGAUGCGAUGGAUUCCUACACUGACCGAUCUCAUGCUUCCCGUAUUUAUUGAGCAGGCACGCGAAGCAAUUUCUUCACCAGCACACCAUCCAAAUGCUCAUAUCGACAACCCAUCACUCGUGACACCUAUAGUGCCUCCUAAUACUACUGCUAACGUUGUCAAUGUUGAUCCAUUGGUUUCAGAUCACGAUUAAGUCGUGCAUUAGUUUUUGAUAUUUUCUAUUUUUUGUUGGAAGGAAAAAAAUUAUACAGUAACAAUACUCGAUGGAUGUUUGUUAUUUUGGUAGUUGCUACCUUGGUGUUGUCGAUGUUUUGUUAAACCUUCUAUAAAUAUUAUUUUAUAUGAAUGUCAGCUAUUUUGAAGGUUA